AAGCGGAGGAAAAGAAACCAACAGGGAUUGCCUUAGUAACGGCGAGUGAAGCGGCAAAAGCUCAAAUUUGAAAGCUAGCACCUUCGGUGUUCGCGUUGUAAUUUGAAGAUAGUUUCCUUGAGUAGUCCUUUAUCUAUGUUCCUUGGAACAGGACGUCAUAGAGGGUGAGAACCCCGUAUGAUUUUGGAUACUACUCUUUGUGGGAUUCUAUCGAAGAGUCGAGUUGUUUGGGAAUGCAGCUCUAAGUGGGUGGUAAAUUCCAUCUAAAGCUAAAUAUUGGCGAGAGACCGAUAGCGAACAAGUACAGUGAUGGAAAGAUGAAAAGAACUCUGAAGAGAGAGUGAAAAAGUACGUGAAAUUGCUGAAAGGGAAGGGCUUGAGGUCAGACUUGGUGUUUAAUGAUUAUCAGUUCUUCUUGGACUGUGCACUCGUUUUUCACCGGGCCAAUAUCAGUUUUAGCGGUAGAGUACCCCUUGAAAUGUGGCUUCCUUCGGGGAGUGUUAUAGUCUUGGGGAGAUCUACUUGCUGGGACUGAGGACUGCGCUUCGGCAAGGAUAUUGGCGUAAUGACCUUAAGCCGCCCGUCUUGA
rnacentral:rRNA from 1 species